rnacentral:rRNA from 1 species
UACGUAGGGGGCAAGCGUUGUCCGGAUUUAUUGGGCGUAAAGAGCGUGUAGGCGGCCAGGUAGGUCUGGUGUGAAAACUCGAGGCUUAACCUCGAGAUGUCAUCGGAAACCAUCUGGCUAGAGUCCGGAAGAGGCGAGUGGAACUCCUGGUGUAGCGGUGGAAUGCGCAGAUAUCAGGAAGAACACCGACGGCGAAGGCAGCUCGCUGGGACGGUACUGACGCUGAGGCGCGAAAGCGUGGGGAGCAAACAGG